CGUUGCCGUACGAUCACUAAAGUUAAGCAACGUCGAACCUAGUCAGUACCUAGAUGGGUGACCGCUUGGGAAUAGCAGGUGCUGUAA